rnacentral:rRNA from 2 species
GGGUUGUGAGGUUAAGCGACUAAGCGUACACGGUGGAUGCCCUGGCAGUCAGAGGCGAUGAAGGACGUGCUAAUCUGCGAUAAGCGCCGGUAAGGUGAUAUGAACCGUUAUAACCGGCGAUUUCCGAAUGGGGAAACCCAGUGUGACUCGUCACACUAUCAUUAACUGAAUCCAUAGGUUAAUGAGGC